CGGCUGGGAGAAGGCAACUGCCCCCGACCCUUCCUGAACCCCUCUCCUCUCUCUUUCUUUUCUUUCAGUGACCUGGGCUCCGCGGAUUCAUUUGAGGCUGGAGGGCCGCUCACGUGUUUUACUCCAACUGUUUGCAACUUUUGAAACCCGGCCAAUCUGGCUUUGGCAUUUGAAAACCAUUUCAAACAGGAGAGAUUCCAAGAAAUGAGGGGGGUACGUUGAAACGAUGAAGAAAGGAUGGACACAGCAGUUGAGGUUGAGAGGUAGGCUCAGGGGUCCACCCUUGUGUGACCUUGAAUAAGCUCGGUGACCUCCGCGCCUCCGUUUCUCGCUGAUCAAAUAAGUAGAACAAGACCUCACAGGGUUCUUGGGAGUAUUACGUGGGAAAACACUUAUAAAGUGGCAAAUAAUAAAAACUCAUUGUAUUAUUAA